rnacentral:misc_RNA from 1 species
GAUGAAGAACGUAGCGAAAUGCGAUACUUGGUGUGAAUUGCAGAAUCCCGUGAACCAUCGAGUCUUUGAACGCAAGUUGCGCCCGAAGCCAUUAGGCCGAGGGCACGCCUGCCUGGGCGUCACACGUCGUUGCCCCCCCAUCUACUCCUUCGGGAUUGCGGGGGGCGGAUGAUGGCCUCCCGUGCGCCUCGCCGCGCGGUUGGCCUAAAUGCCAAGUCCUCGGCGACGCACGCCACGACAAUCGGUGGUUGCGAAACCUCGGUUGCCUGUCGUGUGCGGUCGUCGCGCAUCGAGGGCUCGAAAAAAUUGCCGGGCUUCGGCUCGACUUUCAACGCGACCCCAGGUCAGGCGGGGUUACCCGCUGAAUUUAAGCAUAUCAAUAAGCGGAGGA